rnacentral:rRNA from 1 species
AUACGUAGGGUGCGAGCGUUAUCCGGAAUCAUUGGGCGUAAAGAGCUCGUAGGCGGUUCAGCAAGUCGGCUGUGAAAGUUCGAGGCUCAACCUCGAAAUUGCAGUCGAUACUGCUGUGACUCGAGUCCGGUAGAGGAGAAUGGAAUUCUCGGUGUAGCGGUGAAAUGCGCAGAUAUCGAGAGGAACACCAGUAGCGAAGGCGGUUCUCUGGGCCGGCACUGACGCUGAGGAGCGAAAGCGUGGGGAGCAAACAGGAUUAGAAACCCGUGUAGUCC